AGGACGGCAACUCCUCCUGGCUGAACCCCAACGAGACCAUCACCACCACCGCUGUGCCAGCUGUUGUUGCUGAGGUCAGCGGCCAUGCCUGAGCCUGCUCCAACUUACAUAACUUGUACUAAAUUAUCGCUGCAGCAACACAAAUGUCUCCCCUCACUGCCUCCUACACGAGGGGCACGUCUCCCCUCACUGCCCCCUACACGAGGGGCACGUCUCCCCUCACUGUCCCCUACACGAGGGGCACGUCUCCCCUCACUGCCCCCUACACGAGGGGCACGUCUCCCCUCACUGCCCUGGACGUCUGCUGCCUUACCCUCAUAUCGACCCCGCGGUGUUUGUUCGUUGUUUUGGUCCCCGUUUGUGAUGCACAUUACAGCGCCUAUAUUUAUUGUAGGCUUAUAUUUACCGUAGGCUUUCCCUGGUGUUGAUAUGGUCUGAUUUUAACACAUUUUUAAUAGUAUAAAGCCGUUAAAAACCGUUAUUUAAAUCACUUUGAAAUCUGUAGCAUUUUUCCCAACCGAGAAGAUGACUUGCGUGUUGACCGUUGAGUCGGUCAUUUAAGCUAGUCUGUUUUGAAAUAGCAUUUGUGAAUAGCAAAAUAAAAUGUGAAGAAAAUUAUUUAUUUAGAACCAAGUUUUAUGGAGGAAGUCGUUUCUAUUUUUAACUAUCAGAUAUAUUAUUAUCGAUCAUUUAUGAAGAAUAUGGUGCCUUCUCCUUGAUCAUAUCUAGCAAUAUAUUUUUUAUGAGUAAGUCUGUAUGUACGUGCAUCAUAUCAGCAGAGAUAUAUAUUUCAAAUACAUUCCUAUGCCUGGU